rnacentral:rRNA from 1 species
AUUGAACGCUGGCGGCAGGCUUAACACAUGCAAGUCGAGCGGGGGAAGGUAGCUUGCUACCGGACCUAGCGGCGGGCGGGUGAGUAAUGCUUAGGAGUCUGCCUAUUAGUGGGGGACAACAUCUCGAAAGGGAUGCUAAUACCGCAUACGUCCUACGGGAGAAAGCAGGGGAUCUUCGGACCUUGCGCUAAUAGAUGAGCCUAAGUCGGAUUAGCUAGUUGGUGGGGUAAAGGCCUACCAAGGCGACGAUCUGUAGCGGGUCUGAGAGGAUGAUCCGCCACACUGGGACUGAGACGCGGCCCAAACUCCUACGGGAGGCAGCAGUGGGGAAUAUUGGACAAUGGGGGGAACCCUGAUCCAGCCAUGCCGCGUGUGUGAAGAAGGCCUUAUGGUUGUAAAGCACUUUAAGCGAGGAGGAGGCUACUCUAGUUAAUACCUAGGGAUAGUGGACGUUACUCGCAGAAUAAGCACCGGCUAACUCUGUGCCAGCAGCCGCCGUAA